rnacentral:rRNA from 1 species
UACGUAGGGUGCGAGCGUUGUCCGGAAUUAUUGGGCGUAAAGAGCUUGUAGGCGGUUUGUCGCGUCUGCCGUGAAAAUCCGGGGCUCAACCCCGGACUUGCGGUGGGUACGGGCAGACUAGAGUGUGGUAGGGGAGACUGGAAUUCCUGGUGUAGCGGUGAAAUGCGCAGAUAUCAGGAGGAACACCGAUGGCGAAGGCGGCAUCCUGGACCGGUAUUGACGCUGAGGCGCGAAAGCUAGGGGAGCAAACGGG